rnacentral:rRNA from 1 species
AGAGUUUGAUCCUGGCUCAGAUUGAACGCUGGCGGCAUGCUUUACACAUGCAAGUCGAACGGCAGCGCGGGGCAACCUGGCGGCGAGUGGCGAACGGGUGAGUAAUAUAUCGGAACGUACCCAAGAGUGGGGGAUAACGUAGCGAAAGUUACGCUAAUACCGCAUACGAUCUAAGGAUGAAAGCAGGGGACCGCAAGGCCUUGUGCUCCUGGAGCGGCCGAUAUCUGAUUAGCUAGUUGGUAGGGUAAAGGCCUACCAAGGCUACGAUCAGUAGCUGGUCUGAGAGGACGACCAGCCACACUGGAACUGAGACACGGUCCAGACUCCUACGGGAGGCAGCAGUGGGGAAUUUUGGACAAUGGGCGCAAGCCUGAUCCAGCAAUGCCGCGUGAGUGAAGAAGGCCUUCGGGUUGUAAAGCUCUUUUGUCAGGGAAGAAACGGUGAGGGCUAAUAUCCUUCACUAAUGACGGUACCUGAAGAAUAAGCACCGGCUAACUACGUGCCAGCAGCCGCGGUAAUACGUAGGGUGCAAGCGUUAAUCGGAAUUACUGGGCGUAAAGCGUGCGCAGGCGGUUUUGUAAGUCUGUCGUGAAAUCCCCGGGCUCAACCUGGGAAUUGCGAUGGAGACUGCAAGGCUAGAAUCUGGCAGAGGGGGGUAGAAUUCCACGUGUAGCAGUGAAAUGCGUAGAGAUGUGGAGGAACACCGAUGGCGAAGGCAGCCCCCUGGGUCAAGAUUGACGCUCAUGCACGAAAGCGUGGGGAGCAAACAGGAUUAGAUACCCUGGUAGUCCACGCCCUAAACGAUGUCUACUAGUUGUCGGGUUUUAAUUAACUUGGUAACGCAGCUAACGCGUGAAGUAGACCGCCUGGGGAGUACGGUCGCAAGAUUAAAACUCAAAGGAAUUGACGGGGACCCGCACAAGCGGUGGAUGAUGU